GAUGAAGAACGUAGUGAAAUGCGAUACGUAAUGUGAAUUGCAGAAUUCAGUGAAUCAUCGAGUCUUUGAACGCACAUUGCGCCCCCUGGUAUUCCGGGGGGCAUGCUUGUCCGAGCGUCAUUGCUGCCCUCAAGCACGGCUUGUGUGUUGGGCCUCCGUCCUCCUCCCGGGGGACGGGCCCGAAAGGCAGCGGCGGCACCGCGUCCGGUCCUCGAGCGUAUGGGGCUUCGUCACCCGCUCUUGUAGGCCCGGCCGGCGCUUGCCGACACAUCAAUCUUUUUUCCAGGUUGACCUCGGAUCAGGUAGGGAUACCCGCUGAACUUAAGCAUAUCAAUAAGCGGAGGA
rnacentral:misc_RNA from 1 species